UGGGGAAUCUUGGACAAUGGGCGCAAGCCUGAUCCAGCCAUGCCGCGUGGAUGAUGAAGGCCUUAGGGUUGUAAAAUCCUUUCGUUGGGGACGAUAAUGACGGUACCCAAAGAAGAAGCUCCGGCUAACUUCGUGCCAGCAGCCGCGGUAAUACGAAGGGGGCUAGCGUUGUUCGGAUUUACUGGGCGUAAAGCGCGUGUAGGCGGAUUUGUAAGUUGGGGGUGAAAUCCCGAGGCUCAACCUCGGAACUGCCUCCAAAACUACAAGUCUGGACCUAAGUAGAGGCAAGUGGAAUUGCGAGUGUAGAGGUGAAAUUCGUAGAUAUUCGCAGGAACACCAGUGGCGAAGGCGACUUGCUGGACUUAUGGUGACGCUGAGACGCGAAAGCGUGGGGAGCAAACAGGAUUAGAUACCCAAGUAGUCCCUGAGCGGGCUGGCAAGGCGCAU
rnacentral:rRNA from 1 species